rnacentral:tmRNA from 1 species
UAAGGAUGGCUAGACCGUCGGUAGGGCGUCCGCCUCCGGCCGGCGGUCGAAGCUAAAGCGCGGACUACGCUUGUAGACGUUCUGUCCGGUGCGUCCGCGGACGCGGGUUCGAUUCCCGCCGCCUCCACUU